rnacentral:sRNA from 1 species
GUCCCAACUCCGAGGGGGUGGAGAUGGUCGAAAGAAACGGAAACGGUGUGGUACUUGUGAGCCCUGCCGGCGGCUGGAAAACUGUGGCGCUUGCACUAGCUGUACCAACCGCCGCACGCACCAGAUCUGCAAACUGCGAAAAUGUGAGGUGCUGAAGAAAAAAGUAGGGCUUCUCAAGGAGGUGAGAGACUGUGAGGUGAUGGGCACCUACCUGGACUAUUCUAUGGCAGAUUGCUCACCUGAGUCCUGAGACACCUGUAUGUUCCACAGCCUCACUUCCACCUUGCUGCUCAGUGGACCAGCAGCAUUGGCAUCACCUGCAAGUUUGAUAGAACUGCAGAAUGUCCAGCCCUACCCCAGACCUGCUGAAUUGAAAUCUGCACUUUAACCAGAUCCCCAGGUGAUUUGUAUGUCCAUGAAAGUUUGAGGAGCUGUCUGCAACAUCUCUAUGACCAGAAGGGCAUGGGACGCGGAGCCAGUGGGGUGGAGGGCGGGGGCAGUGACAAAUAAGCUGUGAUGAACAGGCAAAGAAUUCCAAGUGCCAGCAGGGUAAAGAGGAUGACCCAACCCAUUUCCUGACCCUCUAAGCCGGGGAGACAAGGACCUCUUGAGAUUUACUGCAUGUUUCUGCUUGUUCUUCUGGCAUUUGUUUCCUUGUAGUUUAGUGAGUUAUCAGUAAAACCUAUCAAUAAAACUGAUCUACAAAGUUA